UGUUGGGAUCUGGGGAAGGCUGGCUGGGGUUCUUUCCCACUUUUUCCACCAGGGGGCUUCCUGGAGGUUCCUGGAGGGGCGUGGUUUCGCGGCUGCACACCUGACACAUAUCUGACUCAUUUGGAGGAGUAUAUCUGGAUGGAGCUGCCGACACUCCAGUGCCAGAGUGUUAGCCAGUUAUGGUUGCCCCUCCGUGACGCCUUGGCCGCCUGACCCGAGUUACUGGCUGGAAGGUUUUUCCACCCUGGAUUCCUGUUCUUCCGCUUACCAGCCCACCUCCCUUCCCUGAGCCCCGGCCUCGCGGACCCACCAGUCCCAGAUCUCCAGCCGAGCUUUCCCCUGUAAAUCCUCAAAUCCCAGAGAUCCAGCCCUUGCCAGAGAGAAUAAGAGAGAGACCUCUCACCUUCACCUGUACAUAUCUGCACGUUGUUUUUCUAAUAAAUUUCCCUAACCUGA